GCGCAAGUGGCGGAAUUGGCAGACGCGCUAGGUUCAGGACCUAGUGUCCUUUUUGGACGUGGAGGUUCGAGUCCUCUCUUGCGCA
rnacentral:tRNA from 1 species